GCCGGGCGUGGUGAUGGGCGCCUGUAAUCCCAGCUACUUGGGAGGCUGAGGCAGGAGAAUCGCUUGAACCCAGGAGGCAGAGGUUGCAGUGAGCCAAGAUCACACCAUUGUACUGCUGCCUGGGUGACAGAGUGAGACCCUGUCUCAA
ensembl:misc_RNA Metazoa_SRP Metazoan signal recognition particle RNA